AUGGCCCAAGCCGAGCCCAGGGUAGCACUCCAGGUAGUGGAUCUCUCAGCAGGUGGCUGCGGCCCUAGGUAUCGGCUGGCAUCUUCACAUCCCCUAUCGGCCCCAAUCGUCAGGCAAGGUAGAGCGGGUGAACGGCAUCAUCAAGACACAUCUGACCAAGACAGCUGCAGUUCUGAGGCAAGCCUGUCUUGGGUCGACCUCCCUCCUCUGGUGCUCACUCGCAUUCGCACCACACCACACUCCAAAACAGGUUUGACCCCUUUUGAACUGCUCUACGGCAGGCCCUAUCUCCUGACUCACCUCCCCGAGGGAGAGGCUCCCCCACUCAUGGGGUACCUCCCCCUCUUCUCCCUCCUACGAUCCUUGCUGAGGGAACACGCAGAUCGGGUCCUGCCGCAACCAACAGACGACGCAGGGCCCACCCGGCCUCUAGCACCAGGAGAUCAGAGGCUCAACACGGUCCAGCUGAUGGUGCUGCGACAACAGUACCAAGGGCUUCCAACAAGCACUCCGUGGCAAGAUCAACGGCAGACGCCCCCUGUCAUCCCGGCCGUACCCUACCCCUCGUCGCCCCCGUUCAGCAGGAAGUAGCCAGAGAGAGUUGGUGCCCCUUGUCCUAUAUCAAAAAGGCCGGGAUGAAAGGUCAGGGCAAGGUCAGGAUGAAAGGUCAGGGCAAGGUCGGGCGUGUUGAGGCAUGCCUGGGCAUGUCGAGACAUGUCCCGGCAGAGAGUGCUGCAGACACGCCCCAGAGACGGGCCGGCAACCAAGCCGACCAAUCAGGAGCCGACACGAAGCCCUCGCCAUCCAAUCAGGAGCUGACACGGAGCCCUUGGACACCAAUCACCGCUGAGCGUGCAGUUUAUUCCUUACAUGGGAGCCCCGGCCUGGGCUAUAAAACCCUUCCCCACCCUCGCAGACUCCGCAGACUCCCUUUACCCCGCAGACUCCCUUUGCUUCGCAGACCCUCCUCGCUUCCUUGCUUACCCGCCCCCUGGGAGUUCUGCCCAAGAGCGACCGCCCAAUAAAAGGCCCUGAUCAAUGGUCCAUAGGGGUGGCUCCUUCUUCCUGCGGCAUUUCUUACAAUAGGUUCCAGUGUUAGGAAGUGAGUAUAUCUUUCUGGGGGAGGCAGAGCACCAUUCAAUCCACAAUACUAAUCAGAUAAAACUUUUUACCCCUCCUUCUUCCUGUCCUUAUCCUGGAGAGACCUGUCUUCCCUCCUUCUAGGUAACGUUUACCAUGUGGCUAAAUCAUAGAGUCACCCUGCUUCCUUGAACCGUCCCCCAAGUUACCAUAGAGUAAAGGAUCAGCAAAGAAGGCUGCCACUUUCUCUAGUCCCACCAUCAGGGUGUCUUUACGGGAUCCUGGCAGGGAAAGAAUGUGACCAGGUAGGACACGCAGCAUGCACAAGGCUCCUUAAUGCA
rnacentral:lncRNA from 1 species